UACGAAGGGUGCAAGCGUUAAUCGGAAUUACUGGGCGUAAAGGGUGCGUAGGCGGUUCGUUAAGUCUGUCGUGAAAUCCCCGGGCUCAACCUGGGAAUGGCGAUGGAUACUGGCGAGCUAGAGUGUGUCAGAGGAUGGUGGAAUUCCCGGUGUAGCGGUGAAAUGCGUAGAGAUCGGGAGGAACACCCGUGGCGAAGGCGGCCACCUGGGCCGACCCUGACGCUGAGGCGCGAAGGCGUGGGGAGCGAACGGG
rnacentral:rRNA from 1 species